GUUGUCGUGGCCGAUGGGUUAAGUGAACUAGAAAUCUUUUGGGAUCUUCCCGCGCAGGUUCGAAUCCUGCCGACAUCG
rnacentral:tRNA from 1 species